rnacentral:rRNA from 1 species
AUGGCUUCUUCCGGUUCCGUGGCGAGGCCACCGUGUGCUAACCGCGAGGACAUGCCGGACAAGUGGACAGACGCCGAGUUGGAUAAGGUGAAGGACAAAGAUAUGAGAACUCCAUCAUGUUGGUGUGGAGAUGUUUGCAAAGUUAAGGUAUCCACCGACCGCAAGAAAUCAUGGACGGAAGGAAGAAGAUAUUUUGUUUGUCCCAACUAUGCCUACGAUCGUCCUCGUCCAGCUCACGCCUAUGAUGUACCGCCGGUAAGUUGUUCAAGUUCAAACAUGUCGUCAACCAUUGAAUCUAUCUUACUAAUGACCACAUUUGUUCUUUAUUUGUACGUACGUAGUCGCCGCCUCCACUUUGUAAGUACUUCAGAUGGAUAG